AUGCUCCAAAACAUCCUAAAACAGUCCCUGCAAAGACAACCUCCUAUGCUGUCCAAAAACCAGCUGCUACUAGCUUGUAGAGACAUGCCAAAAAAAACCUGUCCACUCCCCUCCAAGACUUGUCAACAUUGCACAAAAAUGGUAAUACAAAACCGGAAUCAACAAAGCUAUAAAAUAGUUAACCAAAUCUAUUCAAAUCCUCAAGUUUUUCCCCCUAAAACCCCACUCUCAUUCACUAUAAAAACACCAACGAUAAGCAAACAAAGAUACAAAAAUUUCAUAGAAAAUCAAUAA